rnacentral:rRNA from 1 species
CUUUCUGAAGAACUGUAAUGCCAUUAAUUUGGUGUUGCAGGGAAACAGGACUGUUACUUUGAAAAAAUUAGAGUCGUUUAAAGCAGGCUAACGCUUGAAUACAUUAGCAUGGAAUAAUGAAAUAGGACGUUUGAUCCUAUUUUGUUGGUUUCUAGGAUUGACGUAAUGAUUAAUAGGGAUAGUUGGGGGCAUUAGUAUUCAAUUGUCAGAGGUGAAAUUCUUGGAUUUAUUGAAGACUGACUACUGCGAAAGCAUUUGCCAAGGAUGUUUUCAUUAAUCAAGAACGAAAGUUAGGGGAUCGAAGACGAUCAGAUACCGUCGUAGUCUUAACCAUAAACUAUGCCGACUAGGGAUCGGAUGAUGUUAAUUUUUUAAUGACUCAUUCGGCGCCUUACG